AGUGAACGCUGGCGGUAGGCCUAACACAUGCAAGUCGAACGGCAGCACAGAGGAGCUUGCUCCUUGGGUGGCGAGUGGCGGACGGGUGAGGAAUACAUCGGAAUCUACUCUGUCGUGGGGGAUAACGUAGGGAAACUUACGCUAAUACCGCAUACGACCUACGGGUGAAAGCAGGGGAUCUUCGGACCUUGCGCGAUUGAAUGAGCCGAUGUCGGAUUAGCUAGUUGGCGGGGUAAAGGCCCACCAAGGCGACGAUCCGUAGCUGGUCUGAGAGGAUGCUCAGCCACACUGGAACUGAGACACGGUCCAGACUCCUACGGGAGGCAGCAGUGGGGAAUAUUGGACAAUGGGCGCAAGCCUGAUCCAGCCAUACCGCGUGGGUGAAGAAGGCCUUCGAGUUGUAAAGCCCUUUUGUUGGGAAAGAAAUCCAUCUGGUUAAUACCCGGGUGGGAUGACGGUACCCAAAGAAUAAGCACCGGCUAACUUCGUGCCAGCCGCCGCGGUAA
rnacentral:rRNA from 1 species